UACAUGGUAAAAUUACACUACUGUCUUAUGGUAUGUACAUGUAUGUAAAUUCUUUUAAACCAGGUGUAUUCAUAAGCACAUGUCCCAAGUCCGAAGCAUGUUGUUUAGUGGUUGUCUUUUUUUGGUGCAGUUCAUAUUUGCUUUUUGUUUCUGGUUUGAAGUAUAAUUAGAUCUGUUUGUUUUUUCCUGUUUAAAUUGUUUUAUAACAGUGUUUUGGGGCCCUCGGUAGGAUGCUGUUCAAUGUUAGCCAAGCUUUUGUGUUGAAGGCUGAAUUAUAACCUAUAGUUGCGAAUUCUGACUACACUGUGUUUUGAUGGAGAGUUGUCUUCCUACCACAUUUAAAAAGAUAUUCCCUGACAUUUGACAAAUCCAUUAGAAUAAUCGAGAUAUUGAAAUUGAACUGAAGUUGCCUAGAAGGUUUCUUACAUUGACCCGGCUAUCCUUUUUCUCUCUUGCUGGAUAGUUUUAUACUGGUCAUUUGGGGGCACUGUGUAGCCUACUGAUCAGUCAUGAGAUGGCUAAAAAUCUUCUUACACUAUUUUACAUUUUCGUACUUAAUAUAUUAAAACCGAAAAUUCAUCAUCUGAUCUUCUUUAUGAAAUAAUAAUUAUUUAUUUUUAUUUUGACGAACAUUUUGAAGAGCAUUAAUUACUACAGGCCGAACAUAUAGUUAGAUAAUCUGUUCCCUGACCAAGAUAACUAUAAAUAGAAAUUAAAUUUUCUUAUCUCUGCCUGCAUCUGUCAUCACUCGGUGUCUAUUAAUUAAUAGACAUUUGAUAAGGAAAUAACGUUGCAAUAUUUAAACAAAGAAAAUUGCAAUUUUAAAGAAAAUAAAAACUAUUCAAGGACGUAUAUCAAUUUAGAUUAUAUACGUCCUUGGUCUAUCCUAGACGUAAAAUUUCAAUAAAGUGCAAGAAAGACUUCAUUUAAUUUCAGUAUUGUCCUUUAGUUAGUCCCACAAGGUUGAGGUAUGAAAAUUAUGAAAUAGCCUGCUACGUACAUUAUGUACAUUUUCCCGACUCGGAAUCUUAAGUGAAAUGCUAGUAAUACUUCUUUUAUAGAUUUUAGUUUUAACAAAUCUCGUUUCGAAUAUCAAUCGCAUUGUUUACGUGAAAUCUUAUCUCAUAUCUAAACACAGCUGGUUUCAACGUUUGACUCUAAUUAGAAUAACUACGCGUAUAUGUAAGGUAAAUAUUAGCAGCUUGUAAUUGCGUGCAAGGAAGUAUUCAAAUGCUUAUUAAAGUAGCUUGCGUCAUAAUAAAUUUCGCAUCAUAUGUAACAUAUCUCUAUAGCAACUUUAAGAUGUUAAUGAUUCAACAGGUCAAAUAAUAAGCUAUUGCGCAUGUAUAUGAAAGGUGGCCAUAGAAAGAAACAGAUGUAUUCCGAAUAACAUCCGGUGUUCCGAAAGACUACGAACAUCGUCCAAUAUAUACUGCGUAAACCCUCAGGGGUUUACGCAAUAAGAUGGUUAUAUACGAAGAUGAUGUUAUAAAAUCGGGUGGACAAAUAUUUUGGCUGAACAAAUAGUCUUCGUCAGUGUCAAUAAUUUUAACAUUACUUAUUGUUUGUGUAAACAUGCUCAACGAUACAGAAUAUUGUUGAUUAGGAACGGUCAUGGAAAAAAUCAGGACCGCCAAAAUGUGAUUUAAUUGUAUUGCUUGUCAAGAUUGGUUGUGGUCAGUUUUGGCGAAGGGAGUUCCAGUUUUAACAUUUUUUUUUAAAUACGCAAAAGUUUUGUAAUCUGUGAGACGUUAUCAGGAGAAGUAGAUAUUUUUUUGACGUCACAAUUGCAAAAAUAAAAGGACGGCAAGUAAAUUUUAAGCCAUAAUUGAAUUAAUUUUUACCAAUGAAGAACCGAGAGAAGCAAUGGAUACCUAAAUUAUAUGUAUGAAAAAACUAAUCAAAUAUUCAAGGAAAAAGUUAAAAUAUACUAAAAAUUAGAGAAAAUGAAUUUUACAACAGUUUAUCAUUUAAUAUCAUUUUCGUUCUAAGUCUGAUUUACGAACUUCAACUUUUAAAGUUAAGAUUUGUCCGUUUAUUUCUUUUCUUCCUGUUGAACUUACUGCUGUUUCAUUUCUUCUUGAUAUACGGUGAGUUUAGACUUAAAUCAUAACUACUCAAGUCUUAUAA